CGCGGCCUAUCAGCUUGUUGGUGAGGUAAUGGCUCACCAAGGCGACGACGGGUAGCCGGCCUGAGAGGGCGACCGGCCACACUGGGACUGAGACACGGCCCAGACUCCUACGGGAGGCAGCAGUGGGGAAUAUUGCACAAUGGGCGAAAGCCUGAUGCAGCGACGCCGCGUGAGGGAUAACGGCCUUCGGGUUGUAAACCUCUUUCAGCAGGGAAGAAGCGAAAGUGACGGUACCUGCAGAAGAAGCGCCGGCUAACUACGUGCCAGCAGCCGCGGUAAUACGUAGGGCGCAAGCGUUGUCCGGAAUUAUUGGGCGUAAAGAGCUCGUAGGCGGCUUGUCACGUCGGGUGUGAAAGCCCGGGGCUUAACCCCGGGUCUGCAUUCGAUACGGGCUAGCUAGAGUGUGGUAGGGGAGAUCGGAAUUCCCGGUGUAGCGGUGAAAUGCGCAGAUAUCAGGAGGAACACCGGUGGCGAAGGCGGAUCUCUGGGCCAUUACUGACGCUGAGGAGCGAAAGCGUGGGGAGCGAACAGGAUUAGAUACCCUGGUAGUCCACGCCGUAAACGGUGGGAACUAGGUGUUGGCGACAUUCCACGUCGUCGGUGCCGCAGCUAACGCAUUAAGUCCCCGC
rnacentral:rRNA from 1 species